UCACUUAAGCUAACCUAUUUAGAUCAAUUGAUCUAUUGGUGUCUAAGAUAAGUAAUUAAGAGAUGAUUAUUUAAUUAGUUUCAUUCGCUAAUCUGAUCAAUUUAUUGAUGUCUAAGAAAAGCAACGAAAAAACUCCCAUCGAUCUCCACUUACCUAGUCAAUUUGAAAGAUUGUCUUGAAUAAGGUUGCUUAGCAGUUUAGUUUAGCUCAUGUCAAUUAGAUCGAUCAUAUGAUGACUGAUUAGAUGAGACCUAAACCUAAAUCUUUCCAUAAAUAUUAAGUCCAUAGGUCUUCCACUAUUAUAGAUGUACGGACAUGGUAUUGGUAUUGAUUAUUUUCGAUUGGUUAUAGUGGUUUAGUUGCAUCGGGAACACACAAUCACUCCAUUAACAAAGAGUUGUUCUAGGAUAAGGAUGGGAUUAGAUCCAAUAACUAUUAGGUAAGGGACCUAAUGAUGGCUUUGUAUCUUCUUAUGAACGGUGGAUCAGAUUUAACUAAGAAGUAUGUCAAUAAAUGUUAGGUGAGCCCACAUAACUUAAAGAUCAAGUCACUGCAACAUACUUAGAGAAGCAUCUGGGCAAAGUUUGUCUAUGCAUCGGUGUGUAUGUUAUCAAUAAUCGUUAGGUAAGGUACAUGGCAUCGGUGGAACCGCAACAUCUACUAGAAAUUCAAUUGUCGUGUUAGGAUUUUCGUUUUCCAUCCGAAGAGUGGAGGGAUCCAAAAAAUAGUAGGAGUCAUUGUUUGCUUCUUAAAGUUUCUAGAGCAAAUAUAAAUUUAAAGUACAGAAUCUAACUUGAAUCUCUACUCUCACAAUUAAAUCAUGUCAACUUCAAACCAUCUAGCCCAUAUCUUUGAGUCUAAUUAUUUGACUAGAACCAAUUAUAAAGACC
rnacentral:lncRNA from 1 species